GAUGAACGCUGGCGGCGUGCUUAACACAUGCAAGUCGAACGGAAGGGCCUCUGCUUGCAGGGGUACUCGAGUGGCGAACGGGUGAGUAACACGUGGGUGAUCUGCCCUGCACUUCGGGAUAAGCCUGGGAAACUGGGUCUAAUACCGGAUAGGACAAUGGUUUGGAUGCUGUUGUGGAAAGUUUUUCGGUGUGGGAUGAGCUCGCGGCCUAUCAGCUUGUUGGUGGGGUAAUGGCCUACCAAGGCGUCGACGGGUAGCCGGCCUGAGAGGGUGUACGGCCACAUUGGGACUGAGAUACGGCCCAGACUCCUACGGGAGGCAGCAAUGGGGAAUAUUGCACAAUGGGCGCAAGCCUGAUGCAGCGACGCCGCGUGGGGGAUGAAGGCCUUCGGGUUGUAAACUCCUUUCGCUAGGGACGAAGCGUUUUUGUGACGGUACCUGGAGAAGAAGCACCGGCUAACUACGUG
rnacentral:rRNA from 1 species